GAUGAACGCUGGCGGCGUGCCUAAUACAUGCAAGUCGAGCGAACGGACGAGAAGCUUGCUUCUCUGAUGUUAGCGGCGGACGGGUGAGUAACACGUGGAUAACCUACCUAUAAGACUGGGAUCAUCUCGGGAAACCGUCGCUAAUCCCGGAUGAUAUUUUGAACCGCGUUGUUCAAAAGUGAGAGACGGCCUUUGUGUCACUUCUAGCUGCAUCCCCGCUGAAUGAGCUAGUUGCUAAGGUAAAGGCUUACCAAGGCAACUAUGCAUAGCCGACCUGAGGGACGGAUAGGCCACCUGGGAAGUGAGCCGCGGACCAGACUCCUAAGGGACGGAGCAGUAGGCAACCUUCCGCAGUGGGCGAGAGCCUGACGGAGCAAGGCCGCGUGUGUGGUGAAGGUCUUCGGAGCGGAAAACUCUGUUAUGAGGGGAGAACAUAUGUGUAAGUAGCUGUGCACAGCUUGACGGUACCUAAUCAGAAAGCCACGGCUAACUACGUG
rnacentral:rRNA from 1 species